AACGAACGCUGGCGGCAUGCCUAACACAUGCAAGUCGAACGAAACCUCCGGGACUUUUGGCCCACGGGGUCGUCACGCGUCGGAACCUUCCCUUAGGGUUAGAAUAACUCUCCGAAUGGGGUGCUAAUGGCGAAUAAUGUCUUCUGACCAAAGAUUUAUCGCCCUUGGUUGUUCCCGCGUUGGAUUAGCUAGUUAUUAGGGUAAAAGCCUCCCAAGGGGACAAUCCAUAGCUGGGUUGAGAGGCUGAUCAGCCACACUGGGACUGAGACACGGCCGAGACUCCUACGGGAGGCAGGAGUGGGGAAUAUUGGACCAUGGGGGAAAGCAUGAACGACUACUGCUGGGUGAGUGAUGUAGGUAGUAGGGUUGUAAAGCUUUUUUACCCAGGAUGAUAAUGACGGUACCGAGAGAAUAAGCUCCGGCUAACUACGUG
rnacentral:rRNA from 1 species